rnacentral:rRNA from 1 species
UCAGGCCUAACACAUGCAAGUCGAACGGUAACGCGGGGCAACCUGGAGAAGAGUGGCGAACGGGUGAGUAAUGCAUCGGAACGUGCCCAGUAGUGGGGGAUAGCCCGGCGAAAGCCGGAUUAAUACCGCAUACGACCUACGGGUGAAAGGGGGGGAUCGCAAGACCUCUCGCUAUUGGAGCGGCCGAUGUCAGAUUAGCUAGUUGGUGGGGUAAAGGCCUACCAAGGCGACGAUCUGUAGCUGGUCUGAGAGGACGACCAGCCACACUGGGAGUGAGACACGGCCCAGACUCCUACGGGAGGCAGCAGUGGGGAAUUUUG